GAAAGUGUGGUGUAGUGGUUUGAGCAUUCACCUAGGACUCUGGAGACCAGGGUUUGAAUCCCUGCUCUGCUA